rnacentral:rRNA from 1 species
GACGAACGCUGGCGGCGUGCUUAACACAUGCAAGUCGAACGGAAAGGCCCUGCUUUUGUGGGGUGCUCGAGUGGCGAACGGGUGAGUAACACGUGAGUAACCUGCCCUUGACUUUGGGAUAACUUCAGGAAACUGGGUCUAAUACCGGAUAGGAGCUCCUGCUGCAUGGUGGGGGUUGGAAAGUUUCGGCGGUUGGGGAUGGACUCGCGGCUUAUCAGCUUGUUGGUGGGGUAGUGGCUUACCAAGGCUUUGACGGGUAGCCGGCCUGAGAGGGUGACCGGCCACAGUGGGACUGAGAUACGGCCCAGAGUCCUACGGGAGGCAGCAGUGGGAAAUAUUGCACAAUGGGCGGAAGCAUGAUGCAGCAACGCCGCGUGCGGGAUGACGGCCUUCGGGUUGUAAACCGCUUUCGCCUGUGACGAAGCGUGAGUGACGGUAAUGGGUAAAGAAGCACCGGCUAACUACGUG